rnacentral:rRNA from 1 species
UCGAGAAUUUUUCACAAUGGGCGCAAGCCUGAUGGAGCGACGCCGCGUGGGGGAUGAAGGGCUUCGGCUCGUAAACCCCUGUCAGUUGCGAACAAAGUUCACUCAAUAACACUGGGUGGAUUGAUAGUAGUGACAGAGGAAGGGACGGCUAACUCUGUGCCAGCAGCCGCGGUAAUACAGAGGUCCCGAGCGUUGUUCGGAUUCACUGGGCGUAAAGGGUGCGUAGGCGGUUCUGAAAGUCUGAUGUGAAAUCUCCAGGCCCAACCUGGAAAUGGCAUUAGAAACUACAGGGCUAGAGGCUUGGAGGGGGAACUGGAAUUCUCGGUGUAGCAGUGAAAUGCGUAGAGAUCGAGAGGAACACCAGUGGCGAAGGCGAGUUCCUGGACAAGUCCUGACGCUGAGGCACGAAAGCCAGGGGAGCAAACAG